GACGAACGCUGGCGGCGUGCUUAACACAUGCCAGUCGAACGGAAAGGCCUUUUCGGAGGUACUCGAGUGGCGAACGGGUGAGUAACACGUGGGUGAUAUGCCCUGCACUCUGGGAUAAGCCUGGGAAACUGGGUCUAAUACCGGAUAGGACCGCACUUUAGUGUGUGUGGUGGAAAGUUUUUUCGGUGUAGGAUGAGCCCGCGGCCUAUCAGCUUGUUGGUGGGGUAAUGGCCUACCAAGGCGGCGACGGGUAGCCGGACUGAGAGGUUGGUCGGCCACAUUGGGACUGAGAUACGGCCCAGACUCCUACGGGAGGCAGCAGUGGGGAAUAUUGCACAAUGGGCGCAAGCCUGAUGCAGCGACGCCGCGUGGGGGAUGACGGCCUUCGGGUUGUAAACUCCUUUCGCCAGGGACGAAGCGUUUUGUGACGGUACCUGGAGAAGAAGCACCGGCUAACUACGUG
rnacentral:rRNA from 1 species